CUCGUGAUAAGUGCUCUAUCAUUCAUGACUUGAAAUCAGUCAUGGGACAUAUUGGUGGAGGUUCCGGAAUGUUCUGGGAGCUUUAGAGUCAUAACCACGGAGACAUCAUUUCUGAUGAAUCAACUCUUGUGAUACGGUAUCAGCAAGGCAUAAGGAGUAUUGUCAGCUAUGACUCAAUACCCAUCAUCUGAAUAAAGAAGUUGAAGCUUGCCCUGCCCCGCGGAGCUGCUCUGUAGGUCUCACCAGUGCAUCCUUCCACCAUCCUGACCAGACUCCAGUUUCACUUCUGCCGUCUCAACAACUGUGUGGGCCCACCCUGCUGGCUAAGCAACCACCAAUAAGAAUCUGUGUUCAGCCUCCUCUUCUGCCCCAGAAUGGAGACUCUCUCCAAGAGUGAGUCUGAAGAGCUAAGGACUUUAGGGGCAGAGACACUCCCUCUCAGCCCUCAGGCCACUUGAGGACACGGAUCCCUUGGGGGCAUCAGGCCCAAAGGCUAUUCGAAAGUCAUAGCUAAACCAGGCGGGCCCUUGGCAACGCCUUCCUGGGCAGGAGUAAGCAUGACGUAAUUCAGAAAGACACUUGGGUUUAAGGCAACUUCUUCAAACCAACAGCCUCCCGACAGCCCUUCCAGGAAAAACACCAGCUUUCAACAAGAAAUGAAACCUUUGGAAAGCUUGUUGCACACAGUUCAGGCCUUCAGAGACACUCAGGACCCCGUGUGGAGUCAGAGGCUGAACUAAGGGCACAGAACUGCCUGAGAUGACACACAUUUGUCCUGUCUCCCCUGAGGAAUAGAGCUGCUUGUUUGGAAUCAGACAAAGGCAGUACGUACCAGGCAUUUCAAAUGACCUGUUUCUUAAUAAGCCUGUAUCCCACUCAAGCGGCCUAAGCCCUGGAAACCUCAUCUUUUUACUGUAAAAUGCGAACUAUCGUAUCACCGCGAAGGUGGGGAUGAGGUUCAAAGUAAGCCCUUGAUGAAUUAGGUUGAGCCACUGAAAUCUCUAUUAUUGAGGCUCAAAGGUUCGAUUACUAGAAAUCUCAUAUGCUUCUUUGUGCCGCUAGGGGCCUAGCCUAGUUGGAGAGGUUCUAAACUGAGCCAUAUUUUAGUGUCCCUCAAACGUUACGAAACACAGGGAGUGGUUGGGAUGGUGAGGGCUGGGUGAAAAGGUCUCAUUCAGCAACUUUGUGGACGUCUAUCUGCUUUGCUUGUCAACUUGACACAGCCUAGAGUUAUCUCAGACAAAAGACUCGGUUGAAGAAUUGUCUAAAUCAGACUGGCCUAUGGGCACAUAAGAGGGUUAUUGAUUAUUAAUUGAUAUAAGAGGGCCCAGCCUAUGGUACCAUCCCUCAAUAGUGAACCUGAGCUAUGUAAAAACUAGCCAAUG